CUUGUAUUUAUUUGUAUGCUCCUCUAGGUGCUGAUCAUUGGUGUGACUAUUGGAAACAAACUGUUUGGUUCACCCCAGAUACAGACCUGUUUGUAAGCAAGGACGAAGCAGUUCAUUUGAAUGCUUUCAUACUGAAACUGGAAUUUCAUACGAAGUGAAUCCCUCAUCCCAGAAUAAAGAGUUUGGUCUUCUCGACUCAUUCAGUCAGGAUUGUCAGAUGUUUCUAUUACCAGAAAGAAUUGUAAUGUAUGGUGAUAACAGCUGGAGAUGUCAAUGUUGAAAGCCAUUGAGAGAGCUAUAAGACAUUUAUCUUGACAGGGCUUCCUAACUAUUUCGUUCUGAUUACUUCUAUCAUGACGAUUUCAUCUAUAUGCAAAUUUUCUUGAUUAAGUCAUAGGUACCUCUCAUUUCGUUUGACCUCCUGCAUUGUCAACACUCCUUAUUUAUGUUUACUUCGUGGUUAUUCAGUCUUCUGUAGUGUUGAUUCCCCUUUUACUCAUCAUUGGUUGGUUGGAUAAUAAAUGUUAUUUACCAUUAUUAUCCAACCGGAUCUAUUUUGCCCUUUGGAAUUUCUGACGAACUAAUG
rnacentral:lncRNA from 1 species